rnacentral:rRNA from 1 species
GACGAACGCUGGCGGCGUGCCUAAUACAUGCAAGUUGAGCGCUGAAGGUUGGUACUUGUACCAACUGGAUGAGCAGCGAACGGGUGAGUAACGCGUGGGGAAUCUGCCUUUGAGCGGGGGACAACAUUUGGAAACGAAUGCUAAUACCGCAUAAAAACUUUAAACACAAGUUUUAAGUUUGAAAGAUGCAAUUGCAUCACUCAAAGAUGAUCCCGCGUUGUAUUAGCUAGUUGGCGAGGUAAAGGCCCAACAAGGCGAUGAUACAUAGCCGACCUGAGAGGGUGAUCGGCCACAUUGGGACUGAGACACGGCCCAAACUCCUACGGGAGGCAGCAGUAGGGAAUCUUCGGCAAUGGACGAAAGUCUGACCGAGCAACGCCGCGUGAGUGAAGAAGGUUUUCGGAUCGUAAAACUCUGUUGGUAGAGAAGAACGUUGGUGAGAGUGGAAAGCUCAUCAAGUGACGGUAACUACCCAGAAAGGGACGGCUAACUACGUG